AGAGCUGCUGGGAGAACAGACUCUAAGU
rnacentral:piRNA from 1 species